rnacentral:tRNA from 1 species
GCCCUUGUAGCUCAGUGGUAGAGCACUCCCUUGGUAAGGGAGAGGCUACGUGUUCGAUCCACGUCAAGGGCACCA